CAGCGGCGGACCUGUGAGGGGAUCCGACUUGCCGGCAGAACUUAGGCUGCGGGACCCCGGGCACUGUUGCUGCUGCGGGAGGGAGAAGGCUGAGCAGACCAUCUGGAACCGUUUACAUCAGCUUAAAGCCUUGAAGACAAGGCGGCCCCGCUCCCGGGUUCCUCUGAGGAUUGGAAUUCUAGGUCGAUCAUGCGAGGCUGUGACAACAUGUGUAGCUACUGCAUUGUUCCUUUCACCCGGGGCAGGGAGAGGAGUCGGCCUAUUGCCUCCAUUCUAGAGGAAGUGAAGAAGCUUUCUGAGCAGGUGUGAGCCUUAGCAGCGAUUUCAUUGCUGGCUUUUGUGGUGAGACGGAGGAAGAUCACGUCCAGACAGUCUCUUUGCUCCGGGAAGUUCAGUACAACAUGGGCUUCCUCUUUGCCUACAGCAUGAGACAGAAGACACGGGCAUAUCAUAGGCUGAAGGAUGAUGUCCCGGAAGAGGUAAAAUUAAGGCGUUUGGAGGAACUCAUCACUAUCUUCCGAGAAGAAGCAACAAA
rnacentral:sRNA from 1 species